CUCUUCCAAUCUCCAGCCCCAGCCAGAGCACGAGAGGAAGAGAAAGGCCCUUAGCUGCUGGGGUGCCCCUGCCUACUCAGUCCCCCACCUCACUGAGAAUCUCCCUUCAACACAGUUUCCACCCAGACCCCCUAAAGAACAGGAGGGGCCUAGGGAGCCCCACCUUGUCAUGUAACAUCAAUAAAGUUCCCUGAAU